GCUCCUACGGGACGCAGCAGUCGGGAAUAUUGCACAAUGGAGGAAACUCUGAUGCAGUGACACCGCGUAUAGGAAGAAGGUUUUCGGAUUGUAAACUAUUUUAGACAGGGAAGAAAAAAGACAGUACCUGUAGAAUAAGCUCCGGCUAACUACGUGCCAGCAGCCGCGGUAAUACGUAGGGAGCAAGCGUUAUCCGGAAUUACUGGGCGUAAAGGGUGCGUAGGUGGUUUCUUAAGUCAGAGGUGAAAGGCUACGGCUCAACCGUAGUAAGCCUUUGAAACUGGGAAACUUGAGUGCAGGAGAGG
rnacentral:rRNA from 1 species